AGUGAACGCUGGCGGUAGGCCUAACACAUGCAAGUCGAACGGCAGCACAGUAAGAGCUUGCUCUUACGGGUGGCGAGUGGCGGACGGGUGAGGAAUACAUCGGAAUCUACUUUUUCGUGGGGGAUAACGUAGGGAAACUUGCGCUAAUACCGCAUACGACCUACGGGUGAAAGCAGGGGAUCCUCGGACCUUGCGCGAUUGAAUGAGCCGAUGUCGGAUUAGCUAGUUGGCGGGGUAAAGGCCCACCAAGGCGACGAUCCGUAGCUGGUCUGAGAGGAUGAUCAGCCACACUGGAACUGAGACACGGUCCAGACUCCUACGGGAGGCAGCAGUGGGGAAUAUUGGACAAUGGGCGCAAGCCUGAUCCAGCCAUACCGCGUGGGUGAAGAAGGCCUUCGGGUUGUAAAGCCCUUUUGUUGGGAAAGAAAAGCAGCAGGUUAAUACCCCGCUGUUCUGACGGUACCCAAAGAAUAAGCACCGGCUAACUUCGUG
rnacentral:rRNA from 1 species